GAUGAAGAACGCAGCGAAAUGCGAUAAGUAAUGUGAAUUGCAGAAUUCAGUGAAUCAUCGAAUCUUUGAACGCACAUUGCGCCCCUUGGUAUUCCGAGGGGCAUGCCUGUUCGAGCGUCAUUAUAACCCCUCAAGCUCAGCUUGGUGUUGGGGCCUGCUGCACUGGCAGCCCUUAAAAUCAGUGGCGGCGCCAUCUGGCUCUAAGCGUAGUAAUUCUUCUCGCUAUGGAGUCCUGGUGGAUGCUUGCCAUCAACCCCCAAUUUUUCUAUGGUUGACCUCGGAUCAGGUAGGGAUACCCGCUGAACUUAAGCAUAUCAAUAAGCGGAGA
rnacentral:misc_RNA from 1 species